UCCGUCAUGGUGUAGUGGCUAGCAUUUCAGACUCUCAAAAAGGAACUCUGAGAACCCGGGUUCAAUUCCCGGUGACGGAA